rnacentral:rRNA from 1 species
GACGAACGCUGGCGGCGUGCUUAACACAUGCAAGUCGAACGGUGAACCCCGCUUGCGGGGGGAUCAGUGGCGAACGGGUGAGGAAGACGAGGGCAACCUGCCCUCAGCUCUGGGACAACUCUAAGAACGUGGGGCUGAUACCGGAACUGAAUAAUAACUGGAUGGGCAGGGGGUGGAAAGAUUUGUCGGCCGGGGUUGGACUUGAGGCUGAUUCGCUUGUUGGUGGGGUAGUGGGCUACGAAGGGGACGACGGGUAGACGGCCCGGGAGGGGGGCCGGCCACACGGGGCCUGAGACACGGCCCAGACUCCUACGGGAGGCAGCAGUGGGGAGUCUUGCGCAAUGGGCGAAAGCCUGACGCAGCGGCGCCGCGUGGGUGAUGACGGCCUUCGGGGUGUAAACCUCUUUCAGCAGGGACGAAGCGAAAGUGACGGUACCUGCAGAAGAAGCACCGGCCAACUACGUG